rnacentral:lncRNA from 1 species
AUGGCACUUAGACCACACUGCUUAAUGGACUCCUGUGAGAGGAAAGGGGUUGGCUCAUCAAGCAAGAUGGUCUCUCUGAAUCAGAUCUGCUUGGUGCAAGUGCGAAAGAGACCACAGAUGGAAGCUCACAGAUGGAAGCCUGCUGAUCAUACAGCUGUUUCUUUGUUGUGAAGUAAGGAAAUGAAUCCACUCCUUGGCAGAGAAGGCUGCUUACCUGUAUGCCUGAAGCAGAACUUGGGCCCUUCUGGGAAAGCUCACCUGAGGCAAUGAGGUUGGCAACAGACAUUCCUUAGUGCAAGAUGCAGUAGGUGAGUUCCUCAGAAUGUGACUCUGUGGGAUAAAUAAUGGGUAAGUAAAAAGAAAAGUAAAGGAGAGAGGAAAGUGUGGUCCAACCAGUUGGAGAGACCCAGGUUCAGCAAGGCCAGGCAGCCUAUUGUAAGGCAUUGAUGGGCCAGUGUGCUAGUUUUUCCCAAGUAUAUUUCAUGGCUCCCCCUUACCGCAGGAUCCCACAGGACUGGUGAUCUGACAGGCUCACUUUGGAAGUCUUGGGGUAUGUCUGUGGGGUCCCUGACAGCCUUACAAUAGGCCUGGGAGGGGCUUUACAGAUGAUAGUGACAUUCCAGUUCCUGAAACCAGGUGAAUGGGUGUUAUUUGCGUUGUUACUUAUACACUACUCAUCAUACAGGCUCAUUUUAUCUAGCCAUGACUUAGAACACAUUAAAACUAAAUUUAAAAUAUAUAAAUAUGAAUAACAAAACAGACUCU